rnacentral:rRNA from 1 species
AUACGUAGGUCCCGAACGUUGCGCGAAAUUACUGGGCGUAAAGGGUCCGUAGGCGGUCUGGUAAGUGGAAGGUGAAAGCCUGGGGCUCAACUCCAGCAUUGCCUUCCAAACUGCCGGACUUGAGGCAGGGAGAGGUCGGCGGAAUUCCCGGUGUAGCGGUGAAAUGCGUAGAUAUCGGGAGGAACGCCAGUGGCGAAGGCGGCCGACUGGAACUGUCCUGACGCUGAGGGACGAAAGCCAGGGGAGCGAACCGGAUUAGAUACCCCUGUAGUCC